AGCUGCGUCGUGCGUUUUGGUGCGGUGAUUCCUCCAGGAGCGCGCGUCUUCACGGUGCGUAAAAUCGGCAUUCAGCGCAUAAAAGUGGAAAUGACGCGCUCUGGAUUCUCACAAGGACGUCUCCUUCUCCUUCCAGAGCGGAAUCCGUGCCAGUAACAGGACACGAGUCUAUUUUUAACAACAACCAAGUCGCCAAAGCGGCUGAUAGUCAGAAGAUGGAUCCUCUGUUUAACGGCACCGACCUGAACCCGGAGAACGGCACGGACGUGUCCGCGAACAGCAGCGACGGCUUCAACCAGUUCAUCCAGCCCGUGUGGCAGAUCACACUGUGGGCUGUGGCGUACUGCAGCAUCGUGGCCGUGUCGGUGGUCGGGAACGUGGUGGUCAUUUGGAUUAUUCUGGCGCAUAAACGCAUGAGGACCGUCACCAACUACUUUCUGGUGAACUUGGCCUUUGCUGAGGCUGGCAUGGCAGCCUUCAACACCGUCAUCAACUUCGCCUACGCCGUCCACAACGAGUGGUACUUCGGUUUGGUUUACUGCCGCUUCCACAACUUCUUCCCCAUCGCUGCCAUCUUUGCCAGCAUUUACUCCAUGACCGCCAUCGCUCUGGACAGGUACAUGGCGAUCAUCCAUCCGCUGCAGCAGAGGCUGACGUCCACAGAGACCCGCGUGGUGAUCGCUGUGAUCUGGAUGUUAGCUCUGAUUCUGGCCUUCCCUCAGUACUACUUCUCGUCCACCACACUGCUGCCCGGACGCACGGUCUGCUACAUCGACUGGCCUGAGUAUGACACCGUGGACAUCAAGAAGAUAUACUAUGUAUGUGUGACAGUGCUGAUCUACUUCCUGCCACUUUGCAUUAUGGGAUGUGCGUACACAACCGUGGGUGUCACCCUCUGGGCGAGUGAGAUUCCCGGAGACUCGUCGGAGCAUUACAAAGAGCAGCUCAUCGCCAAACGGAAGGUGGUGAAGAUGAUGAUCGUGGUGGUGUGUACUUUCGCUGUCUGCUGGCUGCCCUACCACGUCUACUUCCUGCUGCACCAGUUCUUCCCUGAUUGGUUUGAGCAGCGCUACAUCCAGCAGGUGUACCUGGCCAUCAUGUGGCUGGCUAUGAGCUCCACCAUGUACAACCCCAUCAUCUACUACUGCCUCAACAGCAGGUUCAGAGCUGGUUUCCAGCAGGUGUUUUGUUGCUGCUCUCCUACAGCUGCCAAAGAGGAGCUGGAGCUCAAAUCACCGCGUUACCUGCAGACCCAGGUGAGUAUUUGUCGAGCCAGUCGGAUGGAGACGGUGGUUUCCACAUCAGUUCCUGCUGCAGUAACGGAGCAGAGCAGGACGGAGCUGCCGUCCUACACGUCUCACAACGAGCCUCACGUAGCGUCUAACGGCUCCGGCUCAGAGACGUUCACUAAAAGCCCCAACAACUCCAGCCCUCAGUAGAACAAACACAGCAAGGAUGUGUGGAGACAACAAGAUGAUAUCUGACAGGCAGAGGGAGAAAGCUCGCCCUCACUCCACUGCAGAUGGUCAUAUUCAGACGCUCUCAGAAAGACUGUUGAAGGAAGGACAUUUUCAAGCGGGGACACAUUUUUGUGAGCAUCUGGCUGAGUGCAUUCACAUCCCAUUGAUGCCUGGAUCAUCAAUGCUCACCAACCAUCGGCGUUUCAGCUGCCGGUCCUUCCUGGAGAAGUGAAAUGAUUAAACAUCCGUUAAACUUCUCACCAUGAGGACGAGGUCAGAGGGAAGAACGUGCUGUGUUUCACUGUUAAACUGAGCUUAUGAGCAAAGAGUACUGGCUUUUUUAUUUCAUCUUCUUACUUCCUGUCCACACAGGAAGUGAUGUGUUUGAUGGUACUUGCUGCUUGUAAUCGCCUCUAUCUAAAUAUAUUUCAUAUUUGUGACGUUUAAAAGAUGAACGAUCAGCUCUUGGAUCACAGAUUCAUUUUACUAUAAUAAUAACACCAACUGCUCUAAACCAGAUAUUUAUGACGUUAUAAUAAUGAAAGCUCUUUUACUGUGUGAGAUAUUUUCAGCCAAACAGAUUUUCAGUGGAGGUUUGAAAUAUUUACACAGUGCAGAUUUUAUUAUUUUAAAACGAUAUAAAAUAAAUAUAUCAGAGAUUAAUUUACCAUAGUUUGAGGAAGGGUUUCAUUCAUUGUUGAUUCAUUUAAAAUAAAAUGUAUAAAUAUUUAACUUAAAUGAA